UACAGAGGUCUCAAGCGUUGUUCGGAUUCAUUGGGCGUAAAGGGUGCGUAGGCGGCGCGGUAAGUCGGGUGUGAAAUCUUGGGGCUUAACUCCGAAACUGCACUCGAUACUGCCGUGCUUGAGGACUGGAGAGGAGACUGGAAUUUACGGUGUAGCGGUGAAAUGCGUAGAUAUCGUAAGGAAGACCAGUGGCGAAGGCGGGUCUCUGGACAGUUCCUGACGCUGAGGCACGAAGGCUAGGGGAGCAAACGGG
rnacentral:rRNA from 1 species